rnacentral:rRNA from 1 species
AUUGAACGCUGGCGGCAGGCCUAACACAUGCAAGUCGAGCGAGCGGCGGACGGGUGAGUAAUGUCUGGGAAACUGCCCGAUGGAGCGGGAGAACUACUGGAAACGGUAGCUAAUACCGCAUACCCUCAGAUGUGCCCAGAUGGGAUUAGCUAGUAGGUGGGGUAACGGCGCACCCAGGCGAAGAUCCCGAGCUGGUCUGAGAGGAUGACCAGCAACACUGGAAAUGAGACACGGUCCAGACGCCUACGGGAGGCAGCAGUGGGGAAUAUUGCACAAUGGGCGCAAGCCUGAUGCAGCCAUGCCGCGUGUGUGAAGAAGGCCUUCGGGUUGUAAAGCACUUUCAGCGGGGAGGCGUUACCUGCAGAAGAAGCACCGGCUAACUCCGUGCCAGCCGCCGCGGUAAUAC